rnacentral:lncRNA from 14 species
GCCCAGCUGAAAAAAUUGCCUUAGUGGAUGAAGCAGAGCGGUAAAAGUGUAAAAAAGAGAAAAUAAAGAAAAGUUAAAAAAAAGAAAAGAGAAAGAAGAACGUUUGAAGAAACAGAGUUGCAGAUGUUUUUACAGGAAUGACAUUAAAGAGAAAUUCUGCUUGGAGACAAUUUUAAAGACAUGAAGGAGAGAAAGAGAAAAAAAAAAAAAAAAAAAAAAAAAAAAAAAAAAAAAAAAAAAAAAAAAAGAAGGAAGGAAGGAAGGAAGGAAGGAAGGAAGGAAGGAAGGAAGGAAGGAAGGAAGGAAGGAAGGUUGGUUUGUUCGUUCGUUCGUUCGUUCGUUCAUAUCCAGGACUGCAUCUUCAAAGGUCCUUACUGAAGAUGCUAGAAAGGACAACGGGACACUUAUUUACUUGUCUUAGAACUAACAGUGCUUGAAACUCCUCAUAGUGGGAGCUGUAUAGAAGGUAAACUUGCAACUACAACAGAAACACUGCAAUCCUCUUAAGGUAAGUAUAGACUAAACAAUCUCAAUAUGCUGACUAAUGGACAAAGGGUUUACCCUAACAUGGCUAUUACUCCAUGUU